rnacentral:rRNA from 1 species
UUGACAUGCCACAAAUCCUCUUGAAAGAGAGGGGUGCCUUCGGGAACGUGGACACAGGUGGUGCAUGGCUGUCGUCAGCUUGUGUCGUAAGGUGUUGGGUUAAGUCCCGCUAAGCAUCCAUGGAUGAAUGGUUAAAGCGCCCAACUCAU